rnacentral:rRNA from 1 species
AGAGUUUGAUCAUGGCUCAGAACGAACGCUGGCGGCAUGCCUAACACAUGCAAGUCGAACGAGACCUUCGGGUCUAGUGGCGCACGGGUGCGUAACGCGUGGGGAUCUGCCCUUUGCUUCGGAAUAACAGUUAGAAAUGACUGCUAAUACCGGAUGAUGUCGUAAGACCAAAGAUUUAUCGGCAAAGGAUGAACCCGCGUAGGAUUAGCUAGUUGGUGGGUAAAGGCCUACCAAGGCGACGAUCCUUAGCUGGUCUGAGAGGAUGAUCAGCCACACUGGGACUGAGACACGGCCCAGACUCCUACGGGAGGCAGCAGUGGGGAAUAUUGGACAAUGGGCGAAAGCCUGAUCCAGCAAUGCCGCGUGAGUGAUGAAGGCCUUCGGGUUGUAAAGCUCUUUACCAGGGAUGAUAAUGACAGUACCUGGAGAAUAAGCUCCGGCUAACUCCGUG